AGUCUGUUUGCUUUAUUGCGAGUGGAUUGAUGGGAACUCUUUUUAAACCUCGCCAUUUAGAGGAAGGUGAAGUCGUAACAAGGUUUCCGUAGGUGAACCUGCGGAAGGAUCAUUA
rnacentral:rRNA from 1 species